rnacentral:lncRNA from 1 species
AAUAAAAAGAGUGUUUUGUGUUACCUCGUCCACGCGUUGCACUGAUAUUGUUGUCUGCUGAACCUUUCUUGUCGUUUGACUUGUCUGAUGUAGACGUCGUCGGGGGGGGGCUUUUUUCCUUCAUCCGAUCUUGUUAGGCGGCCGGGUUUCGCCACCAUUAACCCCCGCUGCAGAAGUCGUGGAUGGAGCCCGGCUCCCGUAGGAGUCCGGGUGAAGUCUUCCUUGUAGGCGGAACCCGGUUCCCAUAGGAGUCCGGGUGAAGUCUUCCUUGUAGGUGGGACCCGGCUCCCGUAGGAGUCCGGGUGAAGUCUUCCUUGUAGGUGGAACCCGGCUCCCGUAGGAGUCCGGGUAAAGUCUUCCUUGUAGGCGGGACCCGGCUCCCGUAGGAGUCCGGGUGAAGCCUUCCUUGUAGGCGGAACCCGGCUCCCGUGGGAGUCCGGGCC